AAUUAUGAAUCUGCAGACAUU
rnacentral:snRNA from 1 species